GCUUGCUCCUUUGACGUUAGCGGCGGACGGGUGAGUAACACGUGGGUAACCUACCUAUAAGACUGGGAUAACUUCGGGAAACCGGAGCUAAUACCGGAUAAUAUUUCGAACCGCAUGGUUCGAUAGUGAAAGAUGGUUUUGCUAUCACUUAUAGAUGGACCCGCGCCGUAUUAGCUAGUUGGUAAGGUAACGGCUUACCAAGGCGACGAUACGUAGCCGACCUGAGAGGGUGAUCGGCCACACUGGAACUGAGACACGGUCCAGACUCCUACGGGAGGCAGCAGUAGGGAAUCUUCCGCAAUGGGCGAAAGCCUGACGGAGCAACGCCGCGUGAGUGAUGAAGGUCUUCGGAUCGUAAAACUCUGUUAUUAGGGAAGAACAUACGUGUAAGUAACUAUGCACGUCUUGACGGUACCUAAUCAGAAAGCCACGGCUAACUACGUGCCAGCAGCCGCGGUAAUACGUAGGUGGCAAGCGUUAUCCGGAAUUAUUGGGCGUAAAGCGCGCGUAGGCGGUUUUUUAAGUCUGAUGUGAAAGCCCACGGCUCAACCGUGGAGGGUCAUUGGAAACUGGAAAACUUGAGUGCAGAAGAGGAAAGUGGAAUUCCAUGUGUAGCGGUGAAAUGCGCAGAGAUAUGGAGGAACACCAGUGGCGAAGGCGACUUUCUGGUCUGUAACUGACGCUGAUGUGCGAAAGCGUGGGGAUCAAACAGGAUUAGAUACCCUGGUAGUCCACGCCGUAAACGAUGAGUGCUAAUUGUUAGGGGGUUUCCGCCCCUUAUUGCUGCAGCUAACGCAUUAAGCACUCCGCCUGGGGAGUACGACCGCAAGGUUGAAACUCAAAGGAAUUGGAGGGGGACCCG
rnacentral:rRNA from 1 species